rnacentral:rRNA from 1 species
GACGAACGCUGGCGGCGUGCUUAACUCAUGCAAGUCGAACGGAAAGGCCCUGCUUUUGUGGGGUGCUCGAGUGGCGAACGGGUGAGUAACACGUGAGUAACCUGCCAUUGACUUUGGGAUAACUUCAGGAAACUGGGGCUAAUACCGGAUAGGAGCUCCUGCUGCAUGGUGGGGGUUGGAAAGUUUCGGCGGUUGGGGAUGGACUCGCGGCUUAUCAGCUUGUUGGUGGGGUAGUGGCUUACCAAGGCUUUGACGGGUAGCCGGCCUGAGAGGGUGACCGGCCACAUUGGGACUGAGAUACGGCCCAGACUCCUACGGGAGGCAGCAGUGGGGAAUAUUGCACAAUGGGCGGAAGCCUGAUGCAGCAACGCCGCGUGCGGGAUGACGGCCUUCGGGUUGUAAACCGCUUUCGCCUGUGACGAAGCGUGAGUGACGGUAAUGGGUAAAGAAGCACCGGCUAACUACGUG